rnacentral:rRNA from 1 species
AUUACCCAAUCCUGACUAAGGGAGGUAGUUAAUAGAAAUAACAUACUCGGUCCUUCGGGAUUCUGAGAAUGUAAUGAGGACAAGUUAAAACUCUGUCCGAAUCCUAUUGGAGGGCAAGUCUGGUGCCAGCAGCCGCGGUAAUUCCAGCUCCGAUAGCGUAUAUUAAUGUUGUUGCAGUUAAAAAGCUCGUAGUUGAACUUCCGGCAAGAUAUCAUCUUGUCUGUCUGUUUGGGUUUACGAUGAAGAAAUGACUUGUAAAUUCGACAGGCUUUUACCGUGAACAAAAUAGAGUGCUCAAAGCAGGCGUUUGCUUGAAUAAUACAGCAUGGAAUAAUGAAAUAGGACUUUAUCCAUUUUAUUGGUUAUUGGAUGAAGUAAUGAUUAACAGAAACAGUUGGGGGCAUCAGUACUUAAUAGUCAGAGGUGAAAUUCUUANAUUUAUUAAAGACUAACUAAUGCGAAAGCAUUUGCCAAGGAUGUUUUCAUUAAUCAAGAACGAAAGUUAGGGGAUCAAAGACGAUUAGA